GACGAACGCUGGCGGCGUGCUUAACACAUGCAAGUCGAACGGAAAGGCCCCCAUCUUGGUGGGGGUGCUCGAGUGGCGAACGGGUGAGUAACACGUGGGUGAUCUGCCCUGUACUUCGGGAUAAGCUUGGGAAACUGGGUCUAAUACCGGAUAGGACCAUGGUUUAGUGUCUCAUGGUGGAAAGAUUAUUGUUUUGGUGCAGGAUGAGCUCGCGGCCUAUCAGCUUGUUGGUGGGGUAAUGGCCUACCAAGGCGUCGACGGGUAGCCGGCCUGAGAGGGUGGACGGCCACAUUGGGACUGAGUUACGGCCCAGACUCCUACGGGAGGCAGCAGUGGGGAAUAUUGCACAAUGGGCGCAAGCCUGAUGCAGCGACGCCGCGUGGGGGAUGACGGCCUUCGGGUUGUAAACUCCUUUCGUUAGGGACGAAGCCGCACUUUUUUUGGGUGUGGUGACGGUACCUUUGUUAAGAAGCACCGGCUAACUACGUG
rnacentral:rRNA from 1 species